rnacentral:rRNA from 1 species
UACGGGGGGGUGCGAGCGUUGUCCGGAAUCACUGGGCGUAAAGGGCGCGUAGGUGGUCUGAUAAGGGUGUGGUGAAAGCCCGGGGCUCAACCCCGGGUCGGCCGUGCCGACUGUCAGACUAGAGUGCUGUAGGGGCAGGCGGAAUUCCGGGUGUAGCGGUGGAAUGCGUAGAGAUCCGGAGGAAGACCGGUGGCGAAGGCGGCCUGCUGGGCAGAUACUGACACUGAGGCGCGACAGCGUGGGG